GCCCGAUUAGCUCAGCUGGUUAGAGCGUCGUACUAAUAUUGCUACUUUGGCUAUAUUGAGUGAUGCGAAGGUCAACAGUUCAAUCCUGUUAUUGGGCA